rnacentral:tRNA from 1 species
GCCCGGGUGGUGAAAUUGGUAGACGCACCAGACUCAAAAUCUGGCGAAGGCAACUUCGUGCCGGUUCAAUUCCGGCUCCGGGCA